rnacentral:rRNA from 1 species
AUUGAACGCUGGCGGCAGGCCUAACACAUGCAAGUCGAGCGAGCGGCGCACGGGGGAGUAAUAUAUCGGGAUCUCCCCGUUAGAGGGGGGUAACACCUGUGAACGGGAUCUAAUACCGCGUACUCUCGGAUGUACCCAUAUGGGAUUAGCUAGUAGGUGAGGUAACGGCUCACCUAGGCGACGAUCCCUAGCUGGUCUGAGAGGAUGACCAGCCACACUGGGACUGAGACACGGCCCAGACUCCUACGGGAGGCAGCAGUGGGGAAUAUUGCACAAUGGGCGCAAGCCUGAUACAGCCAUGCCGCGUGUAUGAAGAAGGCCCUAGGGUUGUAAAGUACUUUCAGCGGGGAGGCGUUACCGACAGAAGAAGCACCGGCUAACUCCGUGCCAGCAGCCGCGGUAAUUC